GCGGAAGAUGUAACGGGGCUAAACCAUGCACCGAAGCUGCGGCAGCGACACUGUGUGUUGUUGGGUAGGGGAGCGUUCUGUAAGCCUGUGAAGGUGUGCUGUGAGGCAUGCUGGAGGUAUCAGAAGUGCGAAUGCUGACAUAAGUAACGAUAAAGCGGGUGAAAAGCCCGCUCGCCGGAAGACCAAGGGUUCCUGUCCAACGUUAAUCGGGGCAGGGUGAGUCGACCCCUAAGGCGAGGCCGAAAGGCGUAGUCGAUGGGAAACAGGUUAAUAUUCCUGUACUUGGUGUUACUGCGAAGGGGGGACGGAGAAGGCUAUGUUGGCCGGGCGACGGUUGUCCCGGUUUAAGCGUGUAGGCUGGUUUUCCAGGCAAAUCCGGAAAAUCAAGGCUGAGGCGUGAUGACGAGGCACUACGGUGCUGAAGCAACAAAUGCCCUGCUUCCAGGAAAAGCCUCUAAGCAUCAGGUAACAUCAAAUCGUACCCCAAACCGACACAGGUGGUCAGGUAGAGAAUACCAAGGCGCUUGAGAGAACUCGGGUGAAGGAACUAGGCAAAAUGGUGCCGUAACUUCGGGAGAAGGCACGCUGAUAUGUAGGUGAAGUCCCUCGCGGAUGGAGCUGAAAUCAGUCGAAGAUACCAGCUGGCUGCAACUGUUUAUUAAAAACACAGCACUGUGCAAACACGAAAGUGGACGUAUACGGUGUGACGCCUGCCCGGUGCCGGAAGGUUAAUUGAUGGGGUCAGCGCAAGCGAAGCUCUUGAUCGAAGCCCCGGUAAACGGCGGCCGUAACUAUAACGGUCCUAAGGUAGCGAAAUUCCUUGUCGGGUAAGUUCCGACCUGCACGAAUGGCGUAAUGAUGGCCAGGCUGUCUCCACCCGAGACUCAGUGAAAUUGAACUCGCUGUGAAGAUGCAGUGUACCCGCGGCAAGACGGAAAGACCCCGUGAACCUUUACUAUAGCUUGACACUGAACAUUGAGCCUUGAUGUGUAGGAUAGGUGGGAGGCUUUGAAGUGUGGACGCCAGUCUGCAUGGAGCCGACCUUGAAAUACCACCCUUUAAUGUUUGAUGUUCUAACGUGGACCCGUGAUCCGGGUUGCGGACAGUGUCUGGUGGGUAGUUUGACUGGGGCGGUCUCCUCCUAAAGAGUAACGGAGGAGCACGAAGGUUGGCUAAUCCUGGUCGGACAUCAGGAGGUUAGUGCAAUGGCAUAAGCCAGCUUGACUGCGAGCGUGACGGCGCGAGCAGGUGCGAAAGCAGGUCAUAGUGAUCCGGUGGUUCUGAAUGGAAGGGCCAUCGCUCAACGGAUAAAAGGUACUCCGGGGAUAACAGGCUGAUACCGCCCAAGAGUUCAUAUCGACGGCGGUGUUUGGCACCUCGAUGUCGGCUCAUCACAUCCUGGGGCUGAAGUAGGUCCCAAGGGUAUGGCUGUUCGCCAUUUAAAGUGGUACGCGAGCUGGGUUUAGAACGUCGUGAGACAGUUCGGUCCCUAUCUGCCGUGGGCGCUGGAGAACUGAGGGGGGCUGCUCCUAGUACGAGAGGACCGGAGUGGACGCAUCACUGGUGUUCGGGUUGUCAUGCCAAUGGCACUGCCCGGUAGCUAAAUGCGGAAGAGAUAAGUGCUGAAAGCAUCUAAGCACGAAACUUGCCCCGAGAUGAGUUCUCCCUGACCCUUUAAGGGUCCUGAAGGAACGUUGAAGACGACGACGUUGAUAGGCCGGGUGUGUAAGCGCAGCGAUGCGUUGAGCUAACCGGUACUAAUGAACCGUGAGGCUUAACCUUACAACGCCGAAGGUGUUU
rnacentral:rRNA from 1 species